UCAAAAUGUAUGUGAGAUACAUUUUGAUCCAAUGGCUGAGAUCAAUUCUAAGAAUAUAUUAACGGUACAGAUCAUAAUAAAGGACAAAGAUUUUUGAAAAUGUGAGAUAUAUUCCCGCUCAAAUAUCUCUCUCCCUCAGCCUUCCACCUAUCCACGUCUCUCUCUCCCUUUCUACUCUCGCCCACGUCUCUCUCCCUCAGCCUUCCACCUACCGACAUCUCUCUCAGCCUUCCCUCUUUAUCUCUUUCUCCCUCUCUGUUCUUCUUCUUUCCGCUUCUCCCUCUUUGUCCUUCGCCGCUGCUCAUCAUCACCACUCACAAGGGUUCGAUUUCGCUCACUCGCAAGGGUAGUCGAUUUCUGCUUUCGCUGCUACUCAUCAACACUACUCGCAAGGGUUCGAUUUCACUCGACUCGCAAGCAAAUGUGUUCAUUCAAACCUAACAGAUUCAUAGCAAAUGUGUUCAUUCAAAGUUCGAUUUCUGCAUCUCGAUUUCUGAAGGUGAAAAGAAACGGGUGAUUACAGUUUUGAAUGACGACAAGGAUGCUGUGAGAGUAUACAGACAGAUGCUUAUAGUUCGUGAUUGAGGUUUUUUCAUUGAACCCCGGUUUCAUAUUUUUGGCUUGCAUUUAAUUUUUCUUAAUUAUAAUUGUAUUUCAUGUGCUUUUGUCUCAGACACAACCUGUAUGAGCACAAGAAAAUUUCACAAUGUCUUCAACUUGGUGCAUAAAUUUUGCUUAUAAAUUAGCUUUAUUGAGAAGGGCAAAGACAAAAAAUUCUCGAGUCAUACAAAGCCAUAUCAACCUGUAAAAGAGGUCAUCAAAGAAUAGACAGU